ensembl:lincRNA linc-161 ncRNA
UCAAAUUGAAGGAAAUUUAUUCAGCUAUCAGUAUUCGAUAGAAGAAUGUACGUAUGACGUGGCAGUCGCGCGAAAAGCUCAUGUAAACGAGCGCUUCAUGUGUUACCAUACUUUUGGCCCACCCUGUAGCAUGUCUGGCCUUUAUAAUUGUCUAAAAGUAUUAUUUUACUCCAACAGAUCAAUUUUAGCUUAUAAAACUGAUAUUUUAUUGCUUUUUUAUUGCUUGACCGUCUUGCAGCUGGGAGCUAACUUUUUCGAAACCACCGUAUAAUUUUGGGUAUACAAGUUAAUUAUCUUGCGUUUUCAAGCUCGAUUUAGGUACAUUGGAUCACCAGAUUUGGUAAAAUUUGGGAAAAUUCGGUAACUUCUGAUGAUUCACCUGCCGCUGCGACAUUGACAAGUGGACCAUAUAUCAAAUUUUAACCAACUUUAGAUCUGUUUUUGAAACGUUUUCAAAAGAUUUAAUUAUGAAAUUUGGUAUUUUCAGACAAUUUCGACUACACUAUAUGUACUAAAAUUGUUCGAUUUUUAACUGUUCUACAAUUAUCUGAAAUAUUGUAUAACUCCGUAGCUCUCUCCCCAUCACCCCUUUUUACAUUUUAAUUCAUCAUUUCUCACCCCAUUCUCUUUUUUUCCUCAAUUCCAUUACACCAAUUUGUCUGCACCCUCUCCGUGUUUUUUAUGACCUCCCAUGUCGGCUUGUCUCCUCUAUGAAGAUGAACACGUG